AGGUGAACACGUUUCAAGCUGUUCUCAUCACAGGUGGCACAGAUUCUUUUCUUUUCUAUAACUACGCUGACCUCCAAUGGCCGACAACCAACAUGGAAGAAAUAGCACUGGUUAGUAUGAAGAUAUUCACAGAGACACUAACUGAUUGUGAAAUUAAAAUGUCACCUCUUGGAGAAGUUGAAAUAUAAUUCCCUAUUAAUUGGAGAAAAUCAUUGCGGAUAUAUCUAAAAACAUCUUGCAAAAUCUGAUCUCUUGUCUGCAGGCAUUGCAAGCCCUCCCCUUCAAACCCCGCCCACACUUUCUGUGGCUGUCCAAUCACAGACUUCCCAUUGCAGCUCAAUGAGAAGUCUUUGCAAGGCAGGUGCUCUGGACAGUUGCUGCCUCUUGAGUUUAUUUUCACUGAGCUAACCAACCAGGAAGUAGCAGGACCGGUUGUUUGACAGCCAGGGGGGUGUAACUAGGUUAAUUUACAAAAGUACAAAUUUCUAUUAAAAUCUGCAAAAAAGAGAAGACAUUCUUCACACAAAAUCUUUCAGCAAGUUAAAGUACUUUCGAAGUCUGGUGUGUCCCUUUAAAAUCAUCUAUCUAUCUAUCUAUCUAUCUUUCAUCUAUCUACGUAUCUCUAUCUAUCUAUCAAACCAUCUGUCUGUCUGUCUGUUUAUCUAUCUCUUUCUAUCUAUACACUAUCUAUCUAUCUAUCUAUCUAUCUGUCUAUCUAUCUAUUUGUCUCUCUCUCUAUCUAUCUAUCUAUCUAUCUGUUUAUCUAUAUCUAUCUAAAUAUCUAUCUAUCGAUCUAUCUUACUAUCUAUCUAUCUGUCUGUCUAUCUAUAUAUUGAUCUAUCUUACUAUCUAUCAGUCUGUCUGUCUGUCUAUCUAUCUAUCUUACUAUCGAUCUGUCUUACUAUCUAUCUAUCUAUCUAUCUAUCUAACUAUCUUAUUAUUAUUAUUGCCAUUUAUAUAGCGCCAACAGAUUCCGUAGCGCUUUGCAAUAUUAUCAGGGGGGAUUUAACUAUAAAUAGGACAAUUACAAAAAACUUACAGGAACGAUAGGUUGGAGAGAACCCUGCUCAAACGAGCUUACGUUCUAUAGGAGGUGGGGUGUAAAACACAAUAGGAUAGGAAUCAAAUAAGGUGGUUGCCUUUUAGGAGAGAGCAAGAGACAGGUAUGUGAGGUAGAGGUUAGUCUGGGAGGCCAUAAGCUUUCCUAAAGAGAUGGGUUUUAAGGCACUUCUUAAAAGAUGCAAGACUAAGGGAGGGUCUGAUGGCGGUAGGCAGGCUAUUCCAUAGGAAGGAAGUUGCCUGCGAGAAGUCCUGCAAGAGUGAGUUGGCCGUACAUGUGCGAACAACGGACAGGAGGUGGUCACGGGCAGAGCGCAGAGACCGAGAAGGGACAUACCUAUGGAUCUGUGAGGAGAUAUAAGAGGGGCUAGAGUUGUUCAGUGCUUUAUAGGUGUGAAUUAGUACCUUGAAUUGACUCCUAUAGCAUACAGGAAGCCAAUGUAAGGCCUGACAGAAGGGUGAGGUGUGAGAGAAACGACUAGAGAGGAAAAUCAGUCUAGCAGCAGCGUUCAUUAUGGACUGUAGCGGUGCAGUACGGCUUUUGGGAAGACCAAUCAGGAGAGGGUUACAAUAAUGAGGUGACGCCAGAAUCAAAUAUGACGCCAAGAAAGCGCACUUGUAAGGAUGGACUGAUGUGGGUACCACAAACUUGAAGGGAGAGCGAAGGAGGAGGAUCAGUAUUAGAAGGAGGAAAGACAAGGAGCUCAGUUUUAGAGAGAUUGAGUUUCAGAAAGCGGGAGGACAUCCAGUCAGAGAUGGAAGAAAGGCAAGCAGUGACACGUUGCAGGACAGCAGGGAAGAGGUCCGGGGAGGAGAGAUAUAACUGGGUGUCAUCAGCGUACAGGUGGUAGUGGAAUCCAAAAGAAGUAAUACGUUUGCCAAGAGAGGCAGUAUAAGGAGAAAAUAGAAGGGGACCAAGUACAGAGCCUUGGGGGACUCCAACCGAGACAGGACGAGGGGAGGAGGUGUCAUUAGAAAAGGAGAAACUGAAUGAGCGUUGGGAGAGAUAAGAGGAAAACCAUGAGAGGACAGAGUCACAGAGACUGAGCAAUUGAAGAGUUUGAAGAAGGAUAACAUGAUAAACGGUGUCAAAGGCAGCAGAAUGGUCAAGAAGAAUUCGCAUGGAGUAGUGGCCUUUGGAUAUAGCUGCGAUUAGGUCGUUAGUAACUUUGAUAAGUGCAGUCUCUGUAGAGUCUAUCUAUCUAUCUAUCUAUCUUACUAUUGAUCUUACCAGUGGCGUACAUACCAGGGUCGCAGGGGUCGCGACCGCGACCGGGCCCGGCCCACCAGGGGGCCCGGCCGCCCCUGCGACCCGGUAUUUACGCCCAGGGCCAGCCUCUUCCCCUGGGGGGGGCCCAGGAGCCGACCACCCCAGGGCCCCCCGAGGCUGGCCCUGCUGACCCCGGGUGGCCAGACGGGCGCGCGAGGGAGCACUCAGUGCUUCCUCUUCAGCUCCCUCGCACACCGCACUGAUACCGGAGCCGGAAGAUGACGUCAUCUUGCGGCGCCGGCAUCCCUACGCGGCGCGCGAGGGAGCCGAAGAGGAAGCACUGAGUGCUCCCUCGCGCACCCGCCUGCCUGCCCAGGAGCCCAGCAGCAGCACCACUGGACCCCAGGGAAUCCCCCCAGCACUCCAAAAGGUAAGGAGGCUGGGGGGAUUACAUUAAAAAAAAAAAAAAUCAUGUGUGAGUGUGAGUGUUAGUGUGUGUGAGUGUUAGUGUGUGUGUGUUAGAGUGAGUGUUAGUGUGUGAGUGUUAGAGUGAGUGUUAGUGUGUGUGAGUGUUGGUGUGUGAGUGUUAGUGUGUGCGAGUGUUAGAGUGAGUGUUAGAGUGCGAGUGUUAGAGUGAGUGUUAGUGUGUGUGAGUGUUAGAGUGAGUGUUAGAGUGUGAGUAUUAGAGUGAGUGUUAGUGUGUGUGAGUGUUAGUGAGUGUUAGAGUGAGUGUUAGUGUGUGUGAGUGUUAGAGUGAGUGUCAUUGAGUGUGUUACUGUGUGUGUCUUACUGAGUGUGUGUGUGUUAGUGUGUCUGUUUGAUGUCUGUUAGUGAGUGUGUUUGAUGUCUGUUAGUGAGUGUGUGUUUGUCAAUGAGAGUGUAUGUUUUGUGAGUGUGUAUGUAUGUCUGUCGCUGACUGUAUCUCUGUCAGUAAAUGUGUGUGUCUGUUAGCUAGUGUGUAUGCGUCUGUAAGUGUGUGUGUGUGUGUGUCUUCAGCACUUACCUUUCUCCAGCGCCGGACUCCCUUGGCAUUGAGGAUCCCUCAGCCUCUCAGCUCCGAAUGCGACCACGCACGCAUUCAAACCGCCCAUAGGAAAGCAUUACUCAAUGCUUUCCUAUGGACGUUCAGUGUGCUCCUCUAGCGGCUGUCCGUGAGACAGCCACUAGAGGCUGGAUUAACCCUCAGUGAAACAUAGCAGUUUCUCUGAAACUGCUAUGUUUUCAGCUGCAGGGUUAAAACUAGAGGGACCCGACACCCAGACAACUUCAUUGAGCUGAUGUGAUCUGGGUGUCUGUAGUGGUCCUUUAAAGGACCACUAUAGUGCCCCCACCCUCAGGGACUCCCUCCCGCCCGGCUCUGGAAAGGGGUAAAACUUACCUUUUUCCAGCGCUGGGCGGAGAGCUCUCCUCCUCCGAUCCUCCUCUUCUCCUCCCCGUCGGCUGUAUGCGCACGCGCGGCAAGAGCUGUGCGCGCAUUCAGCCGGUCACAUAGGAAAGCAUUCAUAAUGCUUUCCUAUGGACGCUGGCGUGCUCUCACUGUGAAAAUCACAGUGAGAAGCACGCAAGCGCCUCUAGCGGCUGUCAAUGGGACAGCCACUAGAGGAAAUAGGGGAAGGCUUAACCAUUCAUAAACACAGCAGUUUCUCUGAAACUGCUAUGUUUAUGAAAAAAUGGGUUAACCCUAGCUGGACCUGGCACCCAGACCACUUCAUUAAGCUGAAGUGGUCUGGGUGCCUAGAGUGGUCCUUUAAGUGUGUGUGCAUCUGCAUGCACUGGCGUACAUACCGCGGUCGCAGGGGGCGCAGCCCUGUAACCCCUGCGACCAGGUGCCCACCGCCAUGUGUUGCGGCCCGGCCCGCGCGGGGGGGGCCCACGGAUCAAUUUUCGCACCGGGGCCCCAUGGGUCAUGUGUACGCCACUGGAUCUUACUAUCUAUCUAUCUAUCCGUUUAUCACUUUAAAAUGUUAGGGGGAAAAAAACCUCACUUGAUCCUGAAUUUCCUGCUUGGGCUGAAUCUGUCAGACGUGUAAAUGAAUAAUUAAAAUAACUUAGGUGAGCACUCACUGAAUGCUACCACUCAAGUCCUACUCUCAAAGGUCCCCAAUCCUAAAAUACAAUCAAAUAAGUGUGAAUCUAAGCACACAAAACGUAUUUCCACUCCGGAGGGCGCUAGACACCAGGCAAAAAAUUGUUACCAAUCUUGUAGCUUGUUAUUGUAUUAGUACUCGUAAAAAAGGACGAACAAUAAAUGGAAAUAUACAAAUUGAUUCUCACAAAUUUAACUUCAAAAUAGCACAAUAAAAAGUAAAUACAUGUGUUAAUAUAUAAAUGUAAAAUAAAGCACAAUCUAUCUACAAGAGAAAAAGAAACAAAGUCCAAAACGAGCUCCAUAAAAUGAAACCAACCUCUGGUGGGAGCCUCUUUGGUCGCGAUUCCUGCUGGGCUCCUGUACCGAAUGUGGAAAUGUAGAUGCAGACGUUUUGUCCCAGUCAGGACUUCCUCAGGAGAUAACAUCGGGACUCACACCUUAAUGCACGUACCGGGGCAGCAUGUAGACUCGGCCAGAAACAGACCUCUCAGACACUAGAAGCAGUCGUUUUACAGAUUCAUAAAUUACAUUAAAAUAAGUGUGAAUCUAAAAUCUUCCGCAUUCCCCCUAUGGAGGGUUCUAGACACCAGACAUUAAAUAUAUAAAACAAACAAAUUCAGAGUUGAGGUGAUGUACCCCAACCCCAAAAACACAGAGAGCGAGUGCAGCGCUAAAACGUGUGUAGGAUAACACUCACACUUUAAUGUCUGUACCGGGGCAACAUGUAGACAUAGAAAAGGAAAUAGAGGGAAGAAAAACUGAUACUAAUUUGUACUUACCCCAGAGGAUUGCGCUAGUUUUUAUUUGUUUUCUAUUUCCUUUUCUAUGUAUAUAGUCUCAUACACAAUGCAGUAGACAAAAAUAUAAUAAUAAUAGCUCUCUCGGCCGCCAGGUGUGUUAUUUUCUCUGUAUUCCACGUAAAGGGUAGAGUUUUUACAAGUAUCAGAGAUUUCUCAUAGUCUAAAUACAGGAUUAGGAUUAUUUUACCACCUGUGCCUUCCAGUUUGGCUUAUACCAACACUACAUUUAAAAAUGGAGACCUUUUAAUGUGGCAUCUUGCAAUUCACAGGCUGGUCUAAAUAGUGGCAGAACCACAGGCUACUACCAGUUACCUGGGUCACAUACCAUGGACAUACUGAAAUUGGCAAACACGAGUAAUGUUGGUGUUGCCGGUCGUUGGGUCUUCAAAGUGGAUAAACUUCAUCCAGAAGAUCCCAGUGGAAUUAUAG